UAGGGAAUCUUCGGCAAUGGACGGAAGUCUGACCGAGCAACGCCGCGUGAGUGAAGAAGGUUUUCGGAUCGUAAAGCUCUGUUGUAAGAGAAGAACGAGUGUGAGAGUGGAAAGUUCACACUGUGACGGUAUCUUACCAGAAAGGGACGGCUAACUACGUGCCAGCAGCCGCGGUAAUACGUAGGUCCCGAGCGUUGUCCGGAUUUAUUGGGCGUAAAGCGAGCGCAGGCGGUUAGAUAAGUCUGAUGUUAAAGGCUGUGGCUUAACCAUAGUACGCUUUUGGAAACUGUUUAACUUGAGUGCAAGAGGGGAGAGUGAAAUUCCAUGUGUAGCGGUGAAAAUGCGUAGAUAUAUGGAGGANCCCCGGUGGCNAAAGCGGCUCUCUGGCUUGUAACUGACGCUGAGGCUCGAAAGCGUGNGGAGCAAACAGGAUUAGAUNCCCUGNNAGUCCAACGCCGUAAACGAUGAGUGCUAGGUGUUAACACCCUUUCCGGGGGUUAAGUGCCGCAGCUAACGCAUUAACGCACUCCGCCUUGGNGAGUACGACCGGCAAGGUUGA
rnacentral:rRNA from 1 species